GGGCGUGGUAGCACCCCCUCCCAUAGUCCCAGCUACUCGGGCAGCCGAGGCGGGCAGAGCACUUGAGUCCAGGAGCGCUGCACGGUAGUGUGCUGUACUGACCAGCUGUCUACACUAAGUUCAGCAACACUAUGGUGACAUGGUGGGGCAGAGACCACCAGGUUGCCUAAGGAGGGGUGAACUGGACCAGGUCAGAAGCCGAGCAGGUCCAAACUCCCCUGCAGAUCAGUAGUGGGAUCAUGCCUGUGAACAGCCACAUCGCUCCAGCCUGGGCAAUAUAGCAUGAUCUCAUCCU
ensembl:misc_RNA Metazoa_SRP Metazoan signal recognition particle RNA